ACCUGGUUGGCUCAGUUGGUAGAGCAUGGGACUCCUGAUUGGUUGUAAGUUCGAUCCCCACACUGGGUG
rnacentral:tRNA from 1 species